CUUCCCAUCCCGAACAGGACCGUGAAACAACUCCACGCCGAUGAUAGUGCGGAUUGCCCGUGUGAAAGUAGGUAAUCGUCAGGC
rnacentral:rRNA from 1 species